AAGCCCAGGCCACUGGGUCAGGGGGUGGCGGUGGGGCAGGUGGGCACAGUGGGUCCACUUGAUAGUGGUUCCUGGCGAGUGAUACAGAAAUGUGAGUUUGCACAGAGAUUCUGCUGUCCCAGCCCCCGCUCGCCCAGCUUGAGAGCCAGGAAGGUGUGCGCGGAGCUGGAGCUUGUGGCCCACAGCAGGCAGCCGGGCAGACACGAGAGAGUGGGCAAUGCCAAGGAAGUGCUUCUGGGUGAACUUGGCCACAACUAUCACCACCGACACGACAUGGUAGAGUCCUACGUAGCUGGGGAGGCGUGUGGGGUCGGCACCCUCUCCCCGGAGAGGAGACCACAGCCCUGCACUCAGCCCGGAGAGGGGGCAGGCUGACACGGACUGGGAACUUCCCGUGAGUGGUCUGCGACCCCGCACCCGCCUGGGGUUGGAGGGCAGCCAGGAACAGAGCGCGUUACCCAGCAGACAGAACGAGAGACAGGGAAGGGCAGUGUCUUUUGCGAAGGAGGUACCUGGGGUGGAAAGAACUCUUGCUUCCUGCUGGAGCUAGCGGGCUUCUCCAAGGACUCGGGGAGCAGGUGAGAGGACAGGAGACCCCACUCUCCUGUGAGAGGGUGAAGCCUAGACGCGGCUGUUCUGGGAAGCAGGGGUGAGGGGGCCUGAAGGGUCAGAGGAGCCCAGGCCGGGAGAGCCUUCCCAUAUCCCGCCAGGAAGCCCGGGCUCUGGGGCCUAUUUGUCACUAUAGACCACCCACUCCAGGUCCUGGCUGCAGCCCCGCCCUGGUCACAGCCUGGCCACCGCUCCUGGACCACCUACUGCCCGGCGGCUGGGCUGGUAGCAGGCCUCAGCGGCGGGAGCCAGACUGUGACACUGCGGGCCAGCCGGCCUCAUCCUGUGCAAAAGAGGAGUGUGGUCAGCAGCACCCCAGGAGAGGGACCCCAAGUCCAAUCCCAGCGCUGAGACCAAAACCCCAUCCCCGAGGUCAGGUCUGUGUCAGCAGAGGUGGCGACACGAGGAGAGAGCCUUUGUCAGGCUCUGCACAAGCCCUGGGAAGACAGGGCCACUCAAGGGGAGGGCCUCUGACACGGUUAGGGAGACCUUUGUCACCUGGCUCUCAGGAGAGCGAGGAGGCCACAGCCCUAGGAGAGGGGCAGCCGCCUGGUCACUGAGAUUCCGGGUUCACCACUACCCACCUUGAGACAGCUGAGCUGUCGCUUCCCCCACCCCGCCCUGUUCAUGAGAGGGAGGACUUCUCACCGUCACUCCCUGGCCCCAUGCGCACAUCUGUGGCCACAGGAGCCGCCCCAAUAUAUGUUUGUUGAAUUGAAUUUGCUGUGUGAUUCUCUGCCUAGAACCUCCCUUCAGACCAUGUUCCCUGGUGAAUUUGGUGAAUUGAUGUUUAGCAUUUUUGUUUAUUUGUUUGUUCUUUAACAAAAGGUUGUUUUGGUUUGAGAUUCAGCAAAAACAUAGCUGCAUUCAGCUUCCUCCCCAUUCAGGAGUCAGUAAAUGAGUUGUUUUCCAGUCUGCCGCGAGUCCUUGCCUCAAAUGAGCCUCCAACAAGAUAAUGCAUUUAAAAGCCCUUGGAAAAGUACCAGGCCCCACGCACAUUGAGAUGCUGUCCUCAUGGGAGCGGUGUCUCAGCUCUGCACCCUGAGCCAGGAUCAGCUCGUGGAGAAUGCUGCCCAGGUGGGGGUCCUUGCACACGUGGCUAGGACCGGGGAGAAAGGCUGCCUUCAUCCUCCUGCUGCCAGUUAGGUCCCUAAACCCAGGCCCGAUGGCCCAGGGAACGCUGUGUCUUCCCGGCAGCGUGUGGGGGCCGGGGGCCAGCCGUGUGAGGGCAGGAGGCUCCAGAAGGCCCGCACUCCCUCAAGGGGCAGAGCUGGUCCGCAGGGACUUCCAACUAGUGCACUGGUUUCACUUCAGUCUCCACUGUGAUCCUGAAAGCUUUGGGGAUCAGUCCAGGGCGCAUCCUUCAGUCAAGAAACAAAAUGAAAAAACAAACCCCCAAAUCGAAAACCUCGGAGACCUGGUUUACAUUCACCGUUAGCACAGUUAGAACGCAGGUGGCCUCUAGCCGAAACUAAAACACCCCAUGCUGCUAGGACCCCUUCUCCCACCUCUAAAUCCAUUUAGGAAGUUUCCACAAACUCCGUAACUACAGACCUCUUGGUGAUGCCUGGGACUUCUUUUUUCCACCCACGCGUUGGGUGGCUUUCUGUGGCUAGUUUGCAAAUUUGGGGGGAAGAGGGGGACCUGUGUUCUCUCUGCUUGAUUUCUGCUUCUGUCCUAAGACCUCUGGCCUUUGGAGCUCCUCCCCUACAGAGGAGGGAGAAGAAUCAAUAGACGCACCAAGCCUGAUGCAGACAGACGCAGCGGCUCAGUGCAGCUCAUCGCUGGCUGAACUCCCCAGGGAGCCCUGAGGCCCUGGGCUUGGCCCCAGCGUCCUCACCUAUGAAAUGGAUGGGCCCUAGAUCCCUCUGGUUUCCUGUGACCUGAGAGCAGGAUGCUGAGUCUGCUGCUGAAAGGUUUGGCUCAGCAAACAGGACUUGGCGGAGGCCGGCUCCUGGCCCUGCACUGCGCACCAGGGCCAUCCACUGACUCCUGAGCCUCAGUUUCUUUGUCCCGCAAACCAGAGAGAAGGGGUUGGAGCAUGAUGGCGACCUGCAGCCAGGUGCAGCUACAGCUGGUGUUCCAAAAUGAAGGCACGUUGGCAUUUGGACAGUAGGCGCUGAGCAUUGCGGCAGAGGGACCGGCGCGAGUAGACAAGGACAACAUUCACACUGAGGGCCCUGCAGGAUCCUGCCAUGCUGCCCUCACCUGUGAAGGGCUUUUUUUUUUUUGGAGAUUUUUCAGACACUAAACAAAUGCGUCCUGUGAGUUGGAAGGGCUUGGCGGCACAGCCCUGCCAGCCAACUGGGGCCCAGGAAGGCACCGUUUCCUCCUGUGGCUGGAGAACAAUGAAGUCCCACUUCCUCCACCGCUCAGAGAGAAGAGAACAGAAGACAGCAAGGAGAAAAGGGAAUGAAGGAAAGAAGGACAGACAUCCGGACACAGUUCCUGAUCCCUCCGUGGUCCUCUUUUAAGGUCCUUGCCGGUGCCUUUGGGCUGGGCUCCCAGUGUCGUCGCGGGGGCGUGCACAGAUGCAGAUACAAGAUAAAGGAUGGGCCUGUCCAGCCAAGGUGAGCGCGAGUGUCAUCACCCUGGAGCCAGUGGCGCGGGCAAUCAUUCACACAGACGAUUUCUUCUGAGAUGGACAGCUUCUCGCCCGGCCUCGGGGAGCUGGGAGUGUGACCUUGGGCAAGUUAUUUGCUUCUGGGGACCCUGACGCCCCUGGUGAGAUGAGCAGCACCUGCCAGCCAGCCGCCGUGCGUCCAGGAGCCCUCGCCGCACCUGCCCAGGAAACAUCACAACCUGCCAAGCAGGGCCGGGCAGGGGCGGCCGGCCACUGGCGCCAUCCCGGUGGGCUGAGCUUGGGCCUUCCCCAGCGGUUUGUCUGAACUCAGCUGCGGGCACGUUUUCCCAGCAGGCCUCCCGCUAAGGAGACAACAGGGCUGGCGUCCGGUGUCACCACCGAUGGGGCUGUACUGAGUGGGUGGCACUCCCCGCGGCCUGGUUUCCUCGUCUGUCGAACAAGGAUGGCGAUCAUGCAAAGUGCUUGGGUCUUACGGUUGCUGCUACUGUGUCCAUGAGGACGUUUCAGUAAUAAAGUCCGAGGUGGC